CCGGGGAGCAGCAGCACAUGGCGCCGGGGCUCCGAGCCAGCCGGGCGCACCUGCCCCUGGCAGCAGGGAGCUGCUGAGAGUCCCCAUGGCUGCGCGCCCCUCCUUGCCGACAGUGACCCUGUGGAAAGGCCGAAACGUUGGGAGUCUGCUUGCUGCAGCCAUGCCCGGGAACGGGGGAGAGCCCCUUUUUGCUUUUAAACAUGUUGGGAAGUGGGAGGCACCCUGUACUGAGGCCGUUGGGCGCAAGGGAAAACCACAGUUACACUUUAAGAAGUGAAUGCGUAGUGUCCCUUGUUCCUGAAAGUAGAGUUGGGGAAGGAAAGCCGUAAUCGCUCAGGUUUGUGGCUUUGUUUACGGUUUCCACGAAAAGCAAAUGCAUCUUGAUAAUAUCUUUGCAGUAUCUGUGCAUGCAGCAGUAAACAUGGAAAGGCUUUGGGUGUUGCAGCAGAACUUGCAUGGAGAAGUCACCAUUUUCAGUUAAAAGGGAUGCAAAUUAGACAACGUAUCUUGGAGAACUACUGAAAAUCUGGUCACGUCAGAGUAAUGUCAAAGUGCUUACAGUGCAGGUAGUGAUAUAAGAAUCUACUGCAGUGAAGGCACUUGUAGCAUUAUAUUGACAAGUGCCACAGGAGAUCUUGCAGAAAUACAAAAAUUUGUGAGGUACAUUGUGGUAUUCACUGCUUUUUGUUCUAAGGUGCAUCUAGUGCAGAUAGUGAAGUAGAUUAGCAUCUACUGCCCUAAGUGCUCCUUCUGGCAUAAGAAGUUAUAUCUUCAUCCAGUCACUCAGACUGAUUGAGAAAUAUAGAUGUUCCAUUAGCUGUAUGCUUUGCAGUUCUCUGUUAGUUUUGCAUAGUUGCACUACAAGAAGAAUGUAGUUGUGCAAAUCUAUGCAAAACUGAUGGUGGCCUGCUAUUGUCUACAUCAAGAGUGAGAGUGACUUUUUUUACUUUUUAAGUAUUUUGGUGGUCUUAACUUUCAUAGCGGUUCCUUAAAUUUAGGAAAUAUAACAGCUUCAGUAGUACUAAAGUGCUUAUAGUGCAGGUAGUGUUCAGUAAUCUACUGCAUUAUGAGCACUUAAAGUACUGCUAGCUGUAGAACUACAACUUCAGCAUGCCUUCCUAUCAAAUUAACUUUUUUGUUUUAUUGAACACUGUUCUCUGGUUAGUUUUGCAGGUUUGCAUCCAGCUGUAUGAUACUCUGCUGUGCAAAUCCAUGCAAAACUGACUGUGGCAGUGACAAGUCAGUGAAUAAGUGAGGAAAGUUAUACCCCUUUCUACACAGGUUGGGAUUAGUUGCAAUGCUGUGUGUGCCUGUAGUAUUGCACUUGUCCCGGCCUGUUGAGGUUGGUGGGGACAGAGGCUGAAACAUCUUCAGUAGUCUAACUAUUUUAGGAAGCCAUACUGCAUUCUUCCAGGAAAUACGAAUAUCUAAUAUGGCAUGUUUUUUCAUCUAUUUCAUGUGACCUCAAGUGUGGCUGGACAGUAUAUGGUACAGACGUUUCUCUACUUCUGAUAUUUUUUUUGUAUGUGUACUUACGUUCAGUUCUGGAGAUUUUAAGAGCAUCUGUUUUCUUUUGUGGGCUCCUCCUGUUGUAUUGAAGUGAGUGCCUGCUUACAAAACAGUUAAUCCUCAGUAGCCAUGUUAAAGGGAAAUGGGUCAAAAAAGCUUUUAGUUUUCAAAGAUAUUUUGUGCAAACUUACUUAACCUGGCCUGAAUCUGUAGCUUUGCACUAAAAUUGCAUGAAGAAAUCUUCAUUUUGUAUUAAACAAUUUUGAGACUGAUCUAAAAUCCUGUAUUUAGGAUUUUUUUCAUUCUGUUCUAAAUUGGCACUAGAAUGAACAUAUAAUUCUAAUGUACUUCCAUCCAAAAUUUGUCAGAUGUUCAGAAUUUCAAGGUGAAAUCUAUCCUUCAGUCAUACUCUGGAAUAAUCUUUUUGUAUGAUCAUACAACAGAAGUAUCACAUAUUAUAUGAUCUUUCUAUAAGCUUAUGUUUUGUUUACAUGUUGUAUAUCAGUACUACAAAUGUGUCUACCACAAAUACUAAAUAAACCAUUAAAAGUGUGAAAUGUGUAAAAGAAUAAUGCAAGUGACAUACUGAGCCUAUCUAAAUCACCUUUGUAAUUAAAUAAUCCAUUAUUUGAGAUCAAUUUUAAGAAGAUGAUUGGAUGAAAAAAGUAUAUGUAACUUGCUAAUUGAAAUAGACAUUCUCUAAGGUGGGUAGGCGAGAAUCUGUAGGAAGUGCCUCUUUCACUUGGGCUCAAAAAUAAUUUUACACACUACUGUUCUCUCCCUGUCUCGUCUCCACCUUUUCCCUAAAAAAUUAAUGCAUAAAUAAAGUAUUGAAAAAAGUGAUA